UACGUAGGGGGCAAGCGUUGUCCGGAUUUAUUGGGCGUAAAGAGCGUGUAGGCGGCUUUACAGGUCCGCUGUGAAAACUCGAGGCUCAACCUCGAGCUGUCGGUGGAAACCAUCUGGCUAGAGUCCGGAAGAGGAGUGUGGAAUUCCCAGUGUAGAGGUGAAAUUCGUAGAUAUUGGGAAGAACACCGGUGGCGAAGGCGGCGACCUGGUCCGAUACUGACGCUGAGGCGCGAAAGCGUGGGGAGCAAACAGG
rnacentral:rRNA from 1 species